UGGGGAAUAUUGGACAAUGGGCGCAAGCCUGAUCCAGCCAUGCCGCGUGAGUGAAGAAGGCCCUAGGGUUGUAAAGCUCUUUCACCCGCGAAGAUGAUGACGGUAGCGGGAGAAGAAGCCCCGGCUAACUCCGUGCCAGCAGCCGCGGUAAUACGGAGGGGGCUAGCGUUGUUCGGAAUUACUGGGCGUAAAGGGCGCGUAGGCGGUCUGUUGCGUCAGGUGUGAAAGCCCCGGGCUCAACCUGGGAGGUGCACUUGAUACGGGCGGGCUAGAAUCCGGGAGAGGAUGGUGGAAUUCCCAGUGUAGAGGUGAAAUUCGUAGAUAUUCGGAGGAACACCAGUGGCGAAGGCGGCUCACUGGCUCGAUACUGACGCUGAGGUGCGAAAGUGUGGGGAGCAAACAGGAUUAGAUACCCGCGUAGUCC
rnacentral:rRNA from 1 species